CCUACGGGAGGCAGCAGUAGGGAAUAUUCCACAAUGGGGGAAACCCUGAUGCAGCGACGCCGCGUGAGUGAAGAAGUAUCUCGGUACGUAAAGCUCUAUCAGCAGGGAAGAAAAUGACGGUACCUGACUAAUAAGCCCCGGCUAACUACGUGCCAGCAGCCGCGGUAAUACGUAGGGGGCAAGCGUUAUCCGGAUUUACUGGGUGUAAAGGGAGCGUAGACGGCAGCACAAGUCUGGAGUGAAAGCCGGGGGCUUAACCCCGGAACUGCUUUGGAAACUGUGCGGCUGGAGUGCAGGAGGGGUAAGCGGAAUUCCAAGUGUAGCGGUGAAAUGCGUAGAUAUUAGGAGGAACACCGGUGGCGAAGGCGGCUUACUGGACUGUAACUGACGUUGAGGCUCGAAAGCGUGGGGAGCAAACAGGAUUAGAUACCCGAGUAGUC
rnacentral:rRNA from 1 species